UGGGGAAUAUUGGACAAUGGGCGCAAGCCUGAUCCAGCAAUGCCGCGUGAGUGAUGAAGGCCUUAGGGUUGUAAAGCUCUUUUACCCGUGAUGAUAAUGACAGUAGCGGGAGAAUAAGCCCCGGCUAACUCCGUGCCAGCAGCCGCGGUAAUACGGAGGGGGCUAGCGUUGUUCGGAAUUACUGGGCGUAAAGCGCACGUAGGCGGCUUUGUAAGUUAGAGGUGAAAGCCUGGAGCUCAACUCCAGAACUGCCUUUAAGACUGCAUCGCUUGAAUCCAGGAGAGGUGAGUGGAAUUCCGAGUGUAGAGGUGAAAUUCGUAGAUAUUCGGAAGAACACCAGUGGCGAAGGCGGCUCACUGGACUGGUAUUGACGCUGAGGUGCGAAAGCGUGGGGAGCAAACAGG
rnacentral:rRNA from 2 species